GAUGAACGCUGGCGGCGUGCCUAAUACAUGCAAGUCGAGCGAACGGACGAGAAGCUUGCUUCUCUGAUGUUAGCGGCGGACGGGUGAGUAACACGUGGAUAACCUACCUAUAAGACUGGGAUAACUUCGGGAAACCGGAGCUAAUACCGGAUAAUAUUUUGAACCGCAUGGUUCAAAAGUGAAAGACGGUCUUGCUGUCACUUAUAGAUGGAUCCGCGCUGCAUUAGCUAGUUGGUAAGGUAACGGCUUACCAAGGCAACGAUGCAUAGCCGACCUGAGAGGGUGAUCGGCCACACUGGAACUGAGACACGGUCCAGACUCCUACGGGAGGCAGCAGUAGGGAAUCUUCCGCAAUGGGCGAAAGCCUGACGGAGCAACGCCGCGUGAGUGAUGAAGGUCUUCGGAUCGUAAAACUCUGUUAUUAGGGAAGAACAUAUGUGUAAGUAACUGUGCACAUCUUGACGGUACCUAAUCAGAAAGCCACGGCUAACUACGUGCCAGCAGCCGCGGUAAUACGUAGGUGGCAAGCGUUAUCCGGAAUUAUUGGGCGUAAAGCGCGCGUAGGCGGUUUUUUAAGUCUGAUGUGAAAGCCCACGGCUCAACCGUGGAGGGUCAUUGGAAACUGGAAAACUUGAGUGCAGAAGGGGAAAGUGGAAUUCCAUGUGUAGCGGUGAAAUGCGCAGAGGUAUGGAGGAACACCAGUGGCGAAGGCGACUUUCUGGUCUGUAACUGACGCUGAUGUGCGAAAGCGUGGGGAUCAAACAGGAUUAGAUACCCUGGUAGUCCACGCCGUAAACGAUGAGUGCUAGGUGUUAGGGGGUUUCCGCCCCUUAGUGCUGCAGCUAACGCAUUAAGCACUCCGCCUGGGGAGUACGACCGCAAGGUUGAAACUCAAAGGAAUUGACGGGGACCCGCACAAGCGGUGGAGCAUGUGGUUUAAUUCGAAGCAACGCGAAGAACCUUACCAAAUCUUGACAUCCUUUGACAACUCUAGAGAUAGAGCCUUCCCCUUCGGGGGACAAAGUGACAGGUGGUGCAUGGUUGUCGUCAGCUCGUGUCGUGAGAUGUUGGGUUAAGUCCCGCAACGAGCGCAACCCUUAAGCUUAGUUGCCAUCAUUAAGUUGGGCACUCUAAGUUGACUGCCGGUGACAAACCGGAGGAAGGUGGGGAUGACGUCAAAUCAUCAUGCCCCUUAUGAUUUGGGCUACACACGUGCUACAAUGGACAAUACAAAGGGCAGCGAAACCGCGAGGUCAAGCAAAUCCCAUAAAGUUGUUCUCAGUUCGGAUUGUAGUCUGCAACUCGACUACAUGAAGCUGGAAUCGCUAGUAAUCGUAGAUCAGCAUGCUACGGUGAAUACGUUCCCGGGUCU
rnacentral:rRNA from 1 species